rnacentral:ncRNA from 16 species
UUGUAGCAUUCUGUUUCCGGUCUCAUGUAAGUGAAAAGGGAAUCCAGUGCAAAUCUGGAGCUGACGCGCAGCGGUAAAGACUGGCGGGAUGAGAGUUGUAGACACUGUGAAAAUGGGAAGUCUUCAUCCGUAAAACGCCACUAAGCCCGAAGACCUGCCGGAAUUACGUCGCAUCUG